rnacentral:lncRNA from 1 species
GCAGGCUCCCGCUCCCCACAUUCAUGCCCAUCAGCAAGCCACGCCACAUCCAGCAGCCAGCCAGCCAUUCACUGCACAGAGGCCCCCACCAGGCCAGCAGCAGCUGUCACCCUUCUUCAGUCAUCUGUUCCUCAGACACUUUUGUGGAUAGGGCCCAAGUAACUUGAUUAAGUUUCUAUACCAGCAUUUCUAACCUUGACACUAUGGAAUUUCAAGCCAGACAAUUCUUUGUUGUGGGAGGCCAUUCUGAGCAUUGUAGACUUCCUAGUCUGUACCGCCGAAUGCUAGCGGCAGCCUUUCUUCUCCAAGCUGCGACAAUCAAAAAUGUCUGCAGACAUUGCCAAAUGGCCCCUGGGAGGCAAAGCUACCCUUUGGUUGACAGCUGCUGAUCUAUACAACAGUGCGGCUGUCACCCACUGCUCAGGUCCAGGAGGGCAGCUCUCCCAGGGAGGCCAAGGGUCUGGGAAGGUGAGUACACACAGAAGUCGGAAGUAAAGAGCCACCAGCAAAGGUGACCCACCUGGACACCUUCACCACAGCAGCACUGGGCUCUCCCGCGCUGUGCUGUGAUGCUGCAACCCAGGCCUCAUGUGUCUCCCUGGGCCUGCCUCAAUGCGGGCUGCCUGUGGCCUGUCCCCUUGCCUUCUCCAGAUAAAAAGUCAUUCUGUUCCUGGAGCUUUUGUGGCGUCUCAUUUAAUCUCCAUAACAAUAAAUUCAUUCAUUCAUUCAUUCAUUUAUUCAACCAUCUAUCCAGCCAUAUGUAUUGACACUGGGUUCUGGGGUCAGAGAAGCGGACGGCACAGAUAUGGAGAGAGGAGCUUCUGGGGAAGACAGAAAGUAAACUAACAAUUGCAAGAGGGAUGGAUGAAUGGCAGCAACAACAGUACUAACCACUAAUUCCCAAGACCUUGUGAUGCGCUGGGCAUAUAGAAGCUCACUGGAUCUUCCCCAUGCUGAU